UGUGUAUGAAACGUGCUCUAUAAAUAAAGUUUUUAUAAAUAACGUUUGAUAUGUUUGAAGGAGCUUUCUGCAGAUUUCCUGCACUUGCUAACCUUCGUGUCCCAAGCAGCAACACCACAGAUUAAUUUUCCCAGCGUUGCUUUCAACGAGUUUCUCCUGCUGGAACUUUUAUUCCAGAUACUGAUGGAGGUUCUCAGGUCUUGAUUGACUCCAGGAUGAAGCCUCAGCAUGCAGCCAGAAGUCAUUUCCACUGCUGCUGCAUCCAGCAAGAUCAGUCAUUCAUAUCCUGGAGCUCAUCUAGUUUCUGCCUGUAACUGAGGUUUUGGUGACGGGUCCUGGUCCCUGUGGAGAGGCUGUAGCAGCUCCAUGAAGCCAUCACCAUGAUGUUUGAGUUCAGCUUCUCAUUGCUGACAUGGAGGGAAGGUUUGAGUCUGAAAUCAAGUGUUUGUAUUACGUGGUGGUUUGUAAAUCUUUCUCUUCAUGCAGUGCAUCAUUUUUGUAUAAUUCCGUACUUUUCUAUAUUUGUGGCUUUUUUAUAAACAUUCGUACCUUUUUUCCUUA